rnacentral:tRNA from 2 species
GCGCUCGUGGCGGAAUUGGUAGACGCACUGCCUUGAGGUGGCAGCGAGUAACAUCGUGGAGGUUCGAGUCCUCUCGAGCGCA